GGCACCAUGGCUCGGUGGUAGGGCACCUGCUUCACAUGCAGAAGGUCCCGGGUUCAGUCCCCAGCAGCAUCU